rnacentral:tRNA from 1 species
GCCACCCUAGCUCAAUUGGCAGAGCAAUACUUUCGUAAAGUAGAGGUUCGCGGUUCGAUUCCGCGGGGUGGCU